GCAAUCCCUUUUGGAAAAAUACAGUCAUUGAGGAUGAUUCCUGCUGGACCAAAAUGCAAAAAUGAGGAGAUCAUUGCCAAAAUGAGGAAAUUAAAGAUGUGUCUCAAUCCUGCAAAAGACUGGGUGAUUUCUCUCAAAGAAAAAUUUAACCAGAAGAACGUCACGAGCCAACAGUGAAUGAAUAUCACCAUUCAAAGAGCAACUGAACUAUUACUAAUGUAAAAUAGAAUAUAGUUAAACUAUUACUAAUGUAAAAUAGAUUUUUUUUUUUAUUUUGUCAUCUCUGACUGAAAAAUUAAGUAUUGAAUGUGAAAAUGUGUUUUAUUAAAAAUUAACUUUACUGUAACCUUGCACGACCUUCGUUAUACACUGCCCAUCCAAAAAAAAAGCCACCACCUGGAUAUUACUAAGCAAAUAGUUAAUAUCCUCCCAUUGGAUAAUUACUGCAUGGAUGAUUAUGUUAUGUUCCCAAAGAAUGAGGUCAGCUGACCGCCUGAAUAUACAGAAUGACCAGGUUAUUCCAUCAAUUAAUUUUUUCUUCCCUAAUGGCACGGGCAUAUUCCAAGAUGACAAUGCCAGGAUUCAUCAGGCUCAAAUUCUGAAAGAGUGGUUCAGUGAGCAUACAACAUCAUUUUCACACAUGGAUUGGCCACCACAGAGUCCAGAGUCAGACCUUUACCCCAAUGAGAAUCUUUGGGAUGUGCUGGAUAAGACUUUGUGCAGCAGUCUGACUCUCCCAUCAUCAAUACAAGAUCUCUGGACGGGAAUAAAUGUUGUGACAUUGCAGAAGCUUAUCGAAAUGAUGCCAUGGCGAAUACGUGCCAUAAUCAAAGCUAUAUUAGAGUGUGUGACUUUUGUUUUUGACGGGCAGUGUAUUUUAUUAAAUUAUAUUCAUUGUUAUUGUGUCACUGAAUUAUAUGUUUAAAUAGUUUUGCAUUGGUUUUGAAUGAAGACUUGUAAUAAUAAAAAAAAAAAACUGUCAUAAUGGA